ACAUCAGAGAGAAAAAAAAAGGGGGUUAUUUGACACGGUUUUCGUCUGGGUAGUAAUGAGCUCUUCUGUUAAACAAAAUAAGAUUUUUUCGUUGUUACAAUUUUUACAUGAUUUUUAAUUAGAUGGGCCUUAUCCUUAGGCAUAACUAAGUAAAAUCUUUGAAUCAGCUUGUUGACUUUAAAAUCAUUCUGUAUAAAUAAAUAUAGAAAUACUGUAAAAUGUUUGACAUUAUUGUUCUAACAGAAGGUUACACCCAGCUGGACUCACAAGGAACUGUUAGAUCAUGUGGCUCCGUCACACUACUGAAAGGUCCCCACCGCAACAUUAUUGUUAAUACCGGGAACCCUUGGGGAAAGGGACUUACUUCUCAAAG